rnacentral:ncRNA from 1 species
ACAAAGUCUUUGAACAAAAGUAGUACCCUUCAGCAGGAACAUGACAGAGAGUCGGGCAGGUGAGAGCCGAUAUGGGACGAGAAGGGGAAUGGAUUUGGGAGAUGCAAGGUGAAAGUGACAGUAGCUGAUGCCGCGUCCUCGCGUUACAGGGGUAUGAUAUCGACUAUACAGUCCGUAUCAGAAUCAGAGUGAAUCAUAUUGCCGUUUGUGGCCGUGGAGAAUAAUUCCCCGGAAGGAGCGGCAGUAUCAUUAAUUAGGGUGGCACCGCGGAUAUUUCGUCCCUGAC